rnacentral:tRNA from 1 species
GAAUCUUAUAGUUUAUAAAAAACGUUGAAUUGCAAAUUCAAAGAAGGGGGUGUUACCCUAAGGUG